rnacentral:rRNA from 1 species
UGGGGAAUUGUUCGCAAUGGGCGCAAGCCUGACGGCGCAACGCCGCGUGGAGGACGAAGAUCUUCGGGUCGUAAACUCCUUUCGAUCGGGACGAAUCGUCCGCGACCUAAUACGUCGCGGGACUGACGGUACCGAGAGAAGAAGCCCCGGCUAACUCCGUGCCAGCAGCCGCGGUAAUACAGAGGGUGCGAGCGUUAAUCGGAAUUACUGGGCGUAAAGCGCACGUAGUCGGCUCUGCAAGUCGGGUGUGAAAUCCCCGGGCUCAACCUGGGAACUGCAUUCGAGACUGCAUUGCUAGAGUAUGGGAGAGGGAAGCGGAAUUUCUGGCGUAGCAGUGAAAUGCGUAGAUAUCAGAAGGAACAUCAGUGGCGAAGGCGGCUUCCUGGACCAAUACUGACGAUCAGGUGCGAAAGCGUGGGGAGCAAAC